GAUGAAGCAGUAUAUGGACAGACUUCAGAAAGGUCUUCAUAUCCUCACAUCUGUUCUCUAGUUCUUUUCCCUCGAGCCUCCUCUAGCACUUCUACACUGAUCUCUCAGGCUGUUGAUUCUGACUCCUUAGCUACCUGGAGAAAGGAAUGAAUUCCUCAUGGAAGGU